UGUUGCUUGCAAGGGCGUAUGGUGGAUGCCUUGGCAGACAGGACCGAUGAAGGACGUUUGAGGCUGCGAUAUGCCUCGGGGAGCCGCCAACAGGGCUUUGAUCCGAGGAUUUCCGAAUGGGGGAACCCACCGACCGUCAUGGGUCGGUACCGGCUUCGGCCGGGGGGUACGCAGGGAAGUGAAACAUCUCAGUACCUGCAGGAAAGGAUAUUCCGUGAGUAGUGGCGAGCGAAAGCGGAUGAUGGCCAAACCUUGCGCGUGUGAUACCCGUCGGGGGUUGCGCGCGGGGUGUUGCGGGAUCGCGUGUGCCGGCUCCGACGGGCCGGCCGGCAGUUGCAGAAAACCAUGUGUCAGGGGAACCGGGUUGAAUACCGGGCCGCAGAGGGUGAGGGCCCCGUACCUGAACGCGCAUGGUCUGCCGAUCGCGUCUCCCAAGUAGCACGGGUCCCGUGGAACCCCGUGCGAAUCCGCCCAGACCGUUGGGUAAGCCUGAAUAUUCCUGUCUGACCGAUAGCGAACGAGUACCGUGAGGGAAAGGUGAAAAGUACCCCGGGAGGGGAGUGAAACAGUCUCUGAAACCGUGCGCCUACAAUCCGUCGGAGCCCUUUUGUGGGGUGACGGCGUGCCUAUCGAAAAAUGAGUCUGCGAGUCAGUGGCAUGUGGCGAGCAUAACCCGUGUGGGGUAUGCGUAGCGAAGGCGAGUCUUAAAAGGCGUUUGAGUCGCGUGUCCUGGACCCGAAGCGGGAUGAUCUAGCCCUGAGCAGGUUGAAGCGCGGGUAAGACCGCGUGGAGGACCGAACCCACCUGGGUUGAAAACCGGGGGGAUGACUUGGGGCUAGGGGUGAAAGGCCAAUCAAAUUCCGUGAUAGCUGGUUCUCUCCGAAAUGCAUUUGGGUGCAGCGUCGGGUCAUUACGUCCCGGGGGUAGAGCUACUGGAUGCUUGCGGGCCCGUAUCGGGUACCAACAGCAACCAAACUCCGAAUACCGGUGACGCGUAUCCCGGCAGUGAGUCGGCGGGGGAUAAGCUUCGUCGUCGAAAGGGAAACAGCCCAGACCGUCGUCUAAGGUCCCGAAGCGUGUGCUAAGUGGGAAAGGAUGUGGAGUC
rnacentral:rRNA from 1 species